UAACCUUGGCUUGGGUGGACAUUGG
rnacentral:piRNA from 1 species